UGUAAUGGUGGCUGAUGGUUCAAUAUUAAU
rnacentral:piRNA from 1 species